rnacentral:rRNA from 1 species
CUUGACAUGUUCCCGACAGCCCCAGAGAUGGGGCCUCCCUUCGGGGCGGGUUCACAGGUGGUGCAUGGUCGUCGUCAGCUCGUGUCGUGAGAUGUUGGGUUAAGUCCCGCAACGAGCGCAACCCUCGCCCUGUGUUGCCAGCACGUCGUGGUGGGAACUCACGGGGGACCGCCGGGGUCAACUCGGAGGAAGGUGGGGAUGACGUCAGAUCAUCAUGCCCCUUACGUCCAGGGCUUCACGCAUGCUACAAUGGCCGGUACAACGGGAUGCGACACCGCGAGGUGGAGCGGAUCCCUUAAAACCGGUCUCAGUUCGGAUUGGAGUCUGCAACCCGACUCCAUGAAGGCGGAGUCGCUAGUAAUCGCGGAUCAGCAACGCCGCGGUGAAUGCGUUCCCGGGUCUUGUACACACCG